rnacentral:rRNA from 1 species
GAUGAACGCUAGCUACAGGCUUAACACAUGCAAGUCGAGGGGAAACGAUAUUGGAAGCUUGCUUCCGAUAGGCGUCGACCGGCGCACGGGUGAGUAACGCGUAUCCAACCUGCCCAUCACUUGGGGAUAACCGUGCGAAAGUAAGACUAAUACCCAAUGAUAUCUCUAGAAGACAUCUGAAAGGGAUUAAAGAUUUAUCGGUGAUGGAUGGGGGUGCGUCUGAUUAGGUUGUUGGCGGGGUAACGGCCCACCAAGGCGACGAUCAGUAGGGGUUCUGAGAGGAAGGUCCCCCACAUUGGAACUGAGACACGGUCCAAACUCCUACGGGAGGCAGCAGUGAGGAAUAUUGGUCAAUGGGCGAGAGCCUGAACCAGCCAAGUAGCGUGCAGGAUGACGGCCCUAUGGGUUGUAAACUGCUUUUAUAAGGGAAUAAAGUGGGAGUCGUGACUCCUUUUGCAUGUACCUUAUGAAUAAGGACCGGCUAAUUCUGUGCCAGCCGCCGCAGUAA